AGCGAACGCUGGCGGCAAGCUUAACACAUGCAAGUCGAACGAUGUAGCAAUACAUAGUGGCGGACGGGUGCGUAACACGUGGGAAUCUGCCUUUAGGUAAGGAAUAACUCAGGGAAACUUGAGCUAAUACCUUAUAAUGUCUUCGGACCAAAAAUUUAUUGCCUAAAGAUGAGCCCGCGGUAGAUUAGCUAGUUGGUGGGGUAAUGGCCUACCAAGGCAACGAUCUAUAGCUGGUCUUAGAGGAUGAUCAGCCACACUGGGACUGAGACACGGCCCAGACUCCUACGGGAGGCAGCAGUGGGGAAUAUUGGGCAAUGGACGAAAGUCUGACCCAGCUAUGCCGCGUGAAUGAUGAAGGCCUUAGGGUUGUAAAGUUCUUUUACCGGGGAAGAUAAUGACGGUACCCGGAGAAAAAGCUCCGGCUAACUUCGUGCCAGCCGCCGCCGUAA
rnacentral:rRNA from 1 species